CACACACACACACACACACACACACACACACACUAUCAAAACAAUUAUUUUGAUAUAUAUUCGUCAUUUAUAUAUUUCAUUCCACGUUUGCCCACAUGGCCAGCCAGAAUGAUUUAUUUUUAACCUUUCUUCUUCCUCUCUCCCUCUCAAGGGAAUAAUACCACAUCUUCCUUCCCUACAUUUCUGCCAGUCCUUAGAGAAAGCACCUGCAUCGCCUGUUCCUGUCGUCCUCCCUGGUCAUUAGUCAAAAUAACGACCGCCGUCAUUGGUUCCUUCAUCCCAUUUCCAAGCAUCUCAUUGGCCAUUUCUUCAUCCCAUGUACAUUCUUCAUGUACGCGUAGCUAGAUCGUCAGUCUUCGGAGAGUCAGUCUUCCGAGAGUCUUCAGAGAGAGUCAGACUUGAUCAGUUCACAUUCAGUCCAGUUCAUAUCAGUUCAGAGAGGAGCACAUCGGUAUCGUCACGUCUGUAAUCAAUUGUGUCUCGAUAUCAUGUGUGUACAUUCUAUCCAUUAUUAAAUCUAGAACUUUUAUAGAAUGUCCUUUGCUCGCACAAAUCAACAAUAUCAAACCACUACCCACGACCUCCACGCUACCAACAAUAUCAAGCUACUACGCGGUCCUCCAGAGCAGCCACCACCACACCAAGCAUCAUCAACAGAGACAUUGAUAAUUUCAACGGAGCGGUAAGAAGUACAUCAUCAAAACAGUGUGGUCAACAUCAUCUGGAACACUGGUGACAACAAGUGGCCAAAAUUUACGGAAACAGUGGUAGCAACGGUGUUGUGCGAUCGAAGACACGAACUCUCGACUUUCUCAAAAUCCAGUACAUGCUGAGACAAGAGUAUCAUAUCCCAUCGCAGGCAAGUUGCGAGGCGUUGUCAUUUCCUACCACGCUCAAAUCGUGGGUUACCACACUCUCCACGUGCUAUCUUCCCUGCCGCUUCUGCCUCUUCUCCGCUCCUGACUCAUCCCCGUGGUCACACCUGUCUGCCAUCAAACCUGUCGCCGCCUAUUCCUACUCAUCACGCCGCUCCUCUUUGCUGGUUGCCGUUCAUGCUUCUUCCUGAAUUGUGGGUAUCCCUUGGUUCCUUCUCCGAGCCACCCCCACCUCUCCCAUCCGAGUACUCGAGGUCAAGCCUCAUCGCCACCACCACUCCCCACCCAGCCCUUCUCAAUGCCCGGACUCACCCAAGGUCAUCUUUCCAAGUUUGCUCCCAGCAGUGAUCUUCCCAGUCAUCAGGGGCCAGAUCCACGAAACGGUUAUUAUCAACCUCCGGCAGCCAAAUGGUAUCCACGAACGCAUAAGAGGUUGGUGUUGCCAUGGUACAAGGUAGUUACACCACCUCCUGAGGUGGUGUAAGUUAACUCGCCCGAAAACUCUUAUUUAAAUAUUUAUGUGCACAAAAUAACUUUUCUUUUUAUUAUUAUUUACAAGCUUUAUCACCAAGAAAGUAUGGUUUUGCGAUGCAUAAAGUGAAAUCUUGCAUGGAACACUGAAAACGAAGCAUGAAAAGGAAGAGGCUGAUUUGCCCCACACGUGCGCGCUCCCCAUUCCGCCUCGCAGCAAUAAGUUUGUAUUGUGAUUAAGUAUUGUUUUCGUCGCUUCUCCUGCAUAUAUUGGAUAUUUUCUUUGCAUACUUCCACGUUCGUGCCUUGAGGCGAGAAAGGCGCUUUUGGAAUCGCCUUGAUUCCUUGGCAUUGAGUGAUAAUGAGCUGAUGCUCAAAUACCACUUCCCUAGGCAGUUGCCAGUGGGUCCUUCCAAAACGUCAUUGGAGACACUGCAGGACUUACGCAAGUGUCAGCAGGGUCUUCGAGUGUGUGUGCAUUGUGUUGAGUGAUAAGUCGGUGCAGGAAAUCAAGAUGCCUUCAACACACCUUGAUCAAAGGAGAACUGCACAGCAGUUCUUCAGGAUCAAAAAUUUCUUAAGAGUUAUUGGGACCAUUGAUGGCACCCACAUUGCCAUCAAGGCCCGAAGAGUGGACGAGGCCCUCUACUUUAACUGGAAAAGCUAUCACUCCCUCUGAAAAUCCAACUUGUUUGUGAUGUGAAUGGAGUGAUCCUCAGCUACUGCUUCAGAUU